UACGUAGGGUGCGAGCGUUAAUCGGAAUUACUGGGCGUAAAGCGUGCGCAGGCGGUUUUGUAAGCCAGAUGUGAAAGCCCCGGGCUUAACCUGGGAAUGGCAUUUGGGACUGCAAGGCUUGAGUGCGGCAGAGGAGACUGGAAUUCCUGGUGUAGCAGUGAAAUGCGUAGAUAUCAGGAGGAAUACCGGUGGCGAAGGCGGCAUCCUGGACCGGUAUUGACGCUGAGGAGCGAAAGCCAGGGGAGCAAACGGG
rnacentral:rRNA from 1 species